rnacentral:rRNA from 1 species
CCUACGGUGUGCUGCAGUGGGGAAUAUUGGUCAAUGGGAGAGAUCCUGAACCAGCCAAGCCGCGUGAGGGAAGAUGGCCCUAUGGGUUGUAAACCUCUUUUGUAGGAGAACAAAACCCGGGACGUGUCCCGGACUGCGUGUAUCCGAAGAAAAAGCAUCGGCUAACUCCGUGCCAGCAGCCGCGGUAAUACGGAGGAUGAGAGCGUUAUCCGGAUUUAUUGGGUUUAAAGGGUGCGUAGGCGGUCCGUUAAGUCAGCGGUAAAAUUGCGGGGCUCAACCACGUCGAGCCGUUGAAACUGGCAGACUUUAGUUGGCGAGAAGUACGCAGAAUGCGCGGUGUAGCGGUGAAAUG